CCAGAAGGGGUCCUCGGUCGGCUCGACUAGAAGACGAAGGGGGCGUCUCCCCUGCUUCCUGCGGCGUCGGAGGCGAGUUGAGGCGGAGGCAGGCAGCAGCUGCGAAGGCGUCAACGGUGGCGGCGGCGCCAUGGCAGGGCUCGCAGGAUCCCUGCUGCCUUGGUGAUCCCGGGCUGACAGCCAGAGACCACAGCGGCUCAGCUCCUGGAGAGCGAGGGUUGAAGAAAGCAGAGGGCAGCCGCCCGCGCCCGCUGGCUCCCAUUAGCUCUAGCAUCACCCUCAGAUGCCCUGGUACCCAGAACAGUAAUUGGACAAGGGGCAUGGUGACCCCAGGAUCCGGGUCAGUCCACAUCUUGGAGCAUGGCGGAAUCGUGGUGAUGGCUGCAGCCUCCUGGAAGCUGAACGUGGCAGGAACUGGCUGAGAGAUUUUUUUGCUGAUGGUGAAAUGUCCUGGCAGAGUCUAUGCAGCAACAGAGCGUCACCCUACAUCAUAGAGGAGGGAACAGAAACUGGAGAAGCAAGUGCCUUUCUGACAUAGAGCCCAAGUAGCAGGAGCUGGAUUCAACCUCAGCCCAUCCAGGAUCACAGUCCUUCUUCCCAGGACCAGGCUGAGCUGAGAGGUCUGUGAGGUCCAGGUGGAGACGCUCCGCAGGCACGUGCGGGAGGUUGGAGACAUGAUGUGUACAAGCUGGAGGUGUUGCUCUCAGCUUAGUGCGCCCUGUGGGACUCCUGGUGUAGCCGACGUGCUCUGCCGCAGUGUUCCUUGCAGCUGGCGACUGGCGGCCUUAGGAUUACACCAUGUUUGAUUUUCUUGUUUCCUAUUGAUUGACUAUUAAAAUGUUUCCAGUGUCGUUCCAUUAAGACAAACCUGUAAGAGCAUCUUAUAAUUGUUCAUUUUGCACAUGUACAAGUAUUUCUCCGGGAUAGAUACUUAGAAAUGGAACUGAUGGGUCAUAGGGUAUUCAUAUCUUAAAUUCUAAUAGAAAUUUCUAAAGUGUUCUCCAAAUUGCCUUCUAAUGUAAUCUCCUGCUAGCAGCGUGUGUGUGUCCAUUUCCCCAGACCAUGUCCAAGUUUUCCAUUUUUAACCAGUCUGAUGAGUGAGAAAUAGUAUCUUGCUUUAGUUGGCAUUUUUCUGAAUUACCUGCAAGACUGAAGUCUUCAUGUGUUUGCUGUCUGUUUUCAUUUCCUCCUCUGGAUUGCUUGUGCAUAUCCUUUGCCUGUUUCUUUUUUUUUUUUUUUUUAAGGUUUUUUUUGUCUUUUUGCUAUUGAUUUUUAAGAGUUCUUUAUUUGAAUAUUAGUACUUUGUCAUGUAUAUUGCAGAUGUUUUCUACAUUGUGAUUUGUGUCAUUUCAUUGUGUAGUAUCUUUUUGUCUUAGAGAAAUUUUAACUUUGAUACGAUCAAAGUUGCUAAUCUUACUUUUAGGCCAUUUUUACAGUCUUAUUUAAGAAAGUGUUCCCUGUAUCAAGGUCAUAAGUAUUUACUGUAUUUCCUUCUCUAAAAUUUAUAGUUUCUGUAUACAUACGUAUUUAAGCCCUUAUACAAACAAUAAAUUCCAUAUGCACGAAUCUUAGGAUCUAACUUUAAUUCCUCCCCAUUCCCCCCAAAUGGAUAGGUAAUUGUCCCAACACCAUUUAUGGAAUAAUAUAUCAUUUCUCCACUGAUUUAAAACUGCUGCCUCUGCCUGACACUAAAUUCCAAUGCGGGUCUAUGUCAGAGCUCUUUCUGGUCCACUGAUCUAUUUGUCUACUCCUGAGCUUGAUAAUAUGCUUUGCUAACUGGCAGGACAAAUCCCACCCUCUUUGUUGUUUUUGUAAAAUUGCCUUGAUCAUCCUUGCAUAUUUGUCCCACCACAUGAAUUUUAAAAUAGCCUGUCAAGUUUCAGGAAAAAUUCUGCUGGGAUUUUAAUUGGGAUCACAUUGAGUUUUAGGUAAGUUUGAAGAAAAUUGGCACCUUUAUCAUAUUUGAGUCUUCUGCCAAUGCUCGUUGCUAUUAUCUCUCAGUUCCGGUCACUCUCAUGUCUUUCAGGGAAGUUUUAUGGUUUUCUCUAAAGUCUUGCAUAUUUCUUGAUAAAUUUAUUCCUAGGUUUAUUACAGGUUUUGUUGUCAACUGUGAAUAGGGUCUCCUCUCCCUUUAUUUGUUUGGCCCUUGUUUUUCCAUAUUUCAUUUCAACCUGUUUACCCAUCAGUGGGCUUGACUUGCAGACACACACGCAAAGUGAACAUUCUUCCUCCGGGGGCACAAAUAUGCAAGCACCACCAAACACACAGAGCCGGCAUAAUUGCCUGGAAACAAAUUAGAAUCUUUUCAGAUUAUACUUUAAUUAACGAAGUAAAGCAUGAAUACAUUUUCCUUUUGAAAGUAGGACAAUAUGAAUGUAACUAAAGUUUCCUUUCACCACCCUCUGAAAUCCUAGUUUCCCUCCCUCCCUCACAGUUUUAUGUGUCUCCUUCCAUAGAAAUGUAAGUGUCGAUGGAGGUAUUUUGAAUGAAUCAUCCCACUCUAUAAAAGAUUUUACUGUAAGCUGUGUUUUUUCAUUCCAUCUUAUAUUUCUAAGAUAUACUGAUACAAAUAGCUCUUGCCAGUUCCUUUUAGUAGCUGUGUUAUAUUCAUUCCCAUGAAUGUGCUACAUUUUUCCUUCCUAAGAUCCAUGGACAUCUAGUUGCAUCCUUUUCUUUCCUCCAUCAUAAGCAGCGCCACAGAAAACAGCCUUACACGUGCCUCUUCUGUAAUGUUUCU